rnacentral:rRNA from 1 species
GAUGAACGCUGGCGGCGUGCCUAAUACAUGCAAGUCGAGCGAACGGACGAGAAGCUUGCUUUUCUGAUGUUAGCGGCGGACGGGUGAGUAACACGUGGAUAACCUACCUAUAAGACUGGGAUAACUUCGGGAAACCGGAGCUAAUACCGGAUAAUAUUUUGAACCGCAUGGUUCAAAAGUGAAAGACGGUCUUGCUGUCACUUAUAGAUGGAUCCGCGCUGCAUUAGCUAGUUGGUAAGGUAACGGCUUACCAAGGCAACGAUGCAUAGCCGACCUGAGAGGGUGAUCGGCCACACUGGAACUGAGACACGGUCCAGACUCCUACGGGAGGCAGCAGUAGGGAAUCUUCCGCAAUGGGCGAAAGCCUGACGGAGCAACGCCGCGUGAGUGAUGAAGGUCUUCGGAUCGUAAAACUCUGUUAUUAGGGAAGAACAUAUGUGUAAGUAACUGUGCACAUCUUGACGGUACCUAAUCAGAAAGCCACGGCUAACUACGUGCCAGCAGCCGCGGUAAUACGUAGGUGGCAAGCGUUAUCCGGAAUUAUUGGGCGUAAAGCGCGCGUAGGCGGUUUUUUAAGUCUGAUGUGAAAGCCCACGGCUCAACCGUGGAGGGUCAUUGGAAACUGGAAAACUUGAGUGCAGAAGAGGAAAGUGGAAUUCCAUGUGUAGCGGUGAAAUGCGCAGAGAUGUGGAGGAACACCAGUGGCGAAGGCGACUUCCUGGUCUGUAACUGACGCUGAUGUGCGAAAGCGUGGGGAUCAAACAGGAUUAGAUACCCUGGUAGUCCACGCCGUAAACGAUGAGUGCUAAGUGUUAGGGGGUUUCCGCCCCUUAGUGCUGCAGCUAACGCAUUAAGCACUCCGCCUGGGGAGUACGACCGCAAGGUUGAAACUCAAAGGAAUUGACGGGGGCCCGCACAAGCGGUGGAGCAUGUGGUUUAAUUCGAAGCAACGCGAAGAACCUUACCAAAUCUUGACAUCCUUUGACAACUCUAGAGAUAGAGCCUUCCCCUUCGGGGGACAAAGUGACAGGUGGUGCAUGGUUGUCGUCAGCUCGUGUCGUGAGAUGUUGGGUUAAGUCCCGCAACGAGCGCAACCCUUAAGCUUAGUUGCCAUCAUUAAGUUGGGCACUCUAAGUUGACUGCCGGUGACAAACCGGAGGAAGGUGGGGAUGACGUCAAAUCAUCAUGCCCCUUAUGAUUUGGGCUACACACGUGCUACAAUGGACAAUACAAAGGGCAGCGAAACCGCGAGGUCAAGCAAAUCCCAUAAAGUUGUUCUCAGUUCGGAUUGUAGUCUGCAACUCGACUACAUGAAGCUGGAAUCGCUAGUAAUCGUAGAUCAGCAUGCUACGGUGAAUACGUUCCCGGGUCU